ensembl:lncRNA
CUGGAAGCUCUUUGCUUUAAUCCUUGGUUUCAUAUCUUUAAACAGUGAUCCAUCACAGCCUCUUGCAACACUCAAAAAUCAAAUUACAAUGAGAGCAAACAAAAGUCUGAAAACAAAGUCAUUAAGUUAGGACUGAGGAGAAGGGUUGGACUUAAAGGGGAAGGAUAUCCUAUUGGUGGUUAAAAUAUCACACAAACGACCCUUGUACAUUCAACCUGCAAACAAGGAUAAAGUAUUCCCCAACCGUUCAUACAAAUUAACCAUUGCACCAAAUCCUACGCAGAAUUAAUCCUAUAAAAAUGUACCUGUGUAAAACAGGCAAAGCCAUUCUAUGGGUUCCUGCAUUAACUGGUGGGCGGUCUGAUCAACAUUUAAUGUACAAGAUUAGUAAAAGUAAAGUGACUGAAUCAAGAAACAAGAAACCCAAACCAGCAGUCUGUGACUGGUGGAGAGGUCUAGUCGAUAGGUGUUUCUCCUAAAGAUCUUCUCCAGCCAAGCAAGGCAAGCCAAUCACCGGUCAGCACUGCCCUUUGGUUUUCCAUGGUUCCCGUCUGUGUUGGAUAUGAUGCCACCUGCCAGGGACUUGAAAUCCCAGGUAAAAAGGGAAGACUGAAUACCAUACACACCACUGUGCAGAGCGUAUAAAAACCUGUCUCCCAAUAUUUGCAGGAGCCCUAAUACUUGAUUCUGUAAGACCCUAAUUAUCGGGCAUGCCCACACGCGCAAGCAAACACAUACUCACGCACGCACAUGCACACAAACACACACAGCUACAACAGUUCUGGGUAGCAUUAAAUUCAUAUUUGCGUAGCAUCAGAGAGUGGUGUCUCUGUGGACCACUGUCCCUCAUGAACAACCCUCACCUCCCAACUAGCUAAAACUGAGGUGUACUCCCACUGUCAGCCCCCACCCCAGUAAGUUCACGGGUGAAGAAUGAAUGCUUGUGGUGGAUAAGUGGAUCUCAGGCUGCGCUGUCGGCCGGCAACCUGCAGGACGCUUGUUCUUGUACUUUGUUCUUUUGAAUGAUUGUAGUGAACCAAAUCGAUUAAGAUUAUAAGAGAGUACUCAACAUUUGAAAGUCAACCUCAAAGUUGUUGAAUUCUUCUAGUUCUAAAACUACUGCUGAUCCCAGCGCCCCCUGAACACCAACUCUGUCCUGAACUGGCUGGAGAAGAGACAUCAUCGCUGUGUGUGUGUGUGUGUGUGUGUGUGUGUGUGUGUUUUAUCGCGUGUGUGUGUGACAUCUGCACAGAAGCUUGUUGUUGUUUCACUGCUUGAUUCAAACACCCAGGCUGGCCUCCCAGUAGUGGCCGUUUGGGUCUGGUAUUGCUGCAGGCCUCAGAGGCAGCAUGCUGCUGGCCACCAGGAGGACUAGCGAGAGGCAGGGACAGAGCAGGACCCCACUAAGGAAGCACACUUUAGGAACAGGAUAAUGGCCGCUAAUGCAAAAGGUGAAAGUUGACAGAGAGGUAUUCCUCAAAAUGGAGAAGAGUUUAUUCAACACAUUAGGCUUUCACAGUUGUGGAAAACAGCAGACCUCAGCAGGCGGAAGACCAGGAUUAUUCCUUUGUUUGAUUUGACGUUCUUUUGUAUUCUGAUCAUUGCAUAUCAGCAUAUAUGAGGCCCCCCGAAUUAACAAAGUGUGUAGUGGCCUGCUAAAACUGAACUGUUUUUCACAAAUUUCUUAGUUUGUCGUAAGUAGCACCUAUGCUCUUAUGUCUGUGCAUGAUAAUAUAACUUUAUUUUCUUAAAGGAGCACUAAGCGAUGAUUGUUAUCUGUAUCUUAUCUCUGUUUAGGCCUGCUAGCUGUCGUGUAGCGCCCAACAGCGGCUGCUUUAGACGGAGGUGAGCAAUAAGAUGGAGAGAUUUCCAACCUUUCCUUAUUAACUUUGAAUUAAAAGAUGGUUACUAGCAUCAGUACGCCUUAUCAUCUCCACCACCGUUGACCAUUUUGAUAAAAGUCCCUCAAGUGUGCAUUAUUAGAACCUUUCCAUCCUUGGAUUGGUUUUGAACUUAAAAUAGGAAAAGUGUUUCUGUUUUUCUGUAGACCCCUCUGGCCCGUCGGGGCCGCGGGGGGUCGGGGCCGCGGGGGGUCGGGGCGUCAUGGCCUCGAGGAGUCUGGGUCUUGGGGAGUUUGGGCCUCAGAGCGUCGUGGCCUCGGGGG